UCUGCCCAGAACUUUCGUUGUGGAAGGAUGUUCGGGAGUGAUGCGCGAUUUCUUGUGUCCCCUACUUUCCUUGUUUACGUUUUGCGCAGUGUUGCUUCUUCUUCCAUUGUGGAAUGAUUUAUCCUAGCUAACUUGUUGAGUUACAGGCAUGCGCCAUUCAUCAACGCCUACCUGUUGGCAUCAUCAACAAUCUUCAAAGUGGGUGACGGAAAGAAAUUGUUUUCCAGUUAUAAAAUAUUAAGCGUUCAGCACAACUCAGCCACAAAACAACGCACUGGAUUGCGCUAAGAACCUGUCGAAACGCGCGCAGCCCCCGGGAGCGGUAGGAGAAAGGAAGAACGAGAGGAGGAAAAACUAAAGCCAGCGCGCAGCUCUGAUGGUACCCCGGACGCGGUAAGAAGAAAAAAGAUUGAGAGGAGGAAGAACGGUAAAUUUGGUAGGGGGAGACCGUUCUGCCGUCUCCACAGUGUGAGUAUGCCAAAGCACGUGUUGGAAGGGAGAGAAAAAGUGUGGAAUAAACCGCAUGCGAAUGUGUGCAUACAGCAAAAGUAAA